ensembl:lncRNA
AACGGAUGCAUCAUCAUCAUCCAAGCUAGCCGGAAGAGAUGCAACCCGGAUGACAUAGCGGGGCCCAUUACAUCGAUACAGACCACGGACAUCGCGAGACCAGCAAAAUGUCUUAAAAUAGCGAUCGUUUCUCCAUCCAUAAGGCAUGAUGAUGAAGAAUACCAAUCGAACGCAUCAUUUAGCGACGAAGAACGCGAAGACUUGGACGACGUACAACUCUGGUCAAACACGCAAGUACGUGUGUGGGACAGUGUGACAUUUAGUAGCGAGCGAGACGAAGAGAGCGUGACUGUAAGGAGUCAGACCCCGUAUGCUGGGGAAGAAGAAGCAGCGUCGAUCGUGGAUGCGGAUGCUGAAACGGUUGGUGAUGAACUCAGGUCAGCGAGCCUAAGGCACGAGGUACUCCUUCAUGAAAUAAUUAAUAAAUUGGACGAUAUCGACCUAGCCACGAAUGCGAAUCAAAUUGAUGACGUGGUGAACGGCUUAUGCCAUUUGCGAGCAACAGUUCAUGAAAACUUAGUGACGGUUCACGACACGCUCCAGGAGCUGUUGUGCGAGAGAAGACUUUUGGUGGAGCUUGUAGCCAAUCUAAAUCAUUUUAUAAUGAGCAGAUAGCCGCUCUAUAACGUUUUUAUUGCUGCUGGUUUUCAUGAUGUAAAUACCAGCGAUUUUUAAUGCUGCAGAUUUGUUAUAACCAUUAUUAGACUAUAAUUUCGAUGAUAUCUGCACAGUGCUAUUUCUAUGUUAAUCUCAUAGUCAAUUCCAUUAUUAACACUGUAUGGUUUUAUAUUUUAUUUUUAUUUGUUGUCUGUAAUCACUUAGAUCUUUUAAACUUUUGUUACCUUUUGUCUGUAAUCAGUUUGAUGUUAUCAAUGUAUUUUUUAAACUUUGUCGCCUUUAUAAAGCUGUAGUUAUAUUUUUGCCUGUAAUAAUUUUAAAAAUGAACGCCAGAGAUGUACACAGAGGCGACGCUCUUUCUGACACGCUACAGAGUAUAAUUGAUUUGCAAAUUCAAAAUGCUCCUGAUAAUAUGACUCUAUGCGAUAGAUUACAACAAAUGAUAAGUUCGUACCCCGAUGUGAUAGGACCAUUUCCUGAUUACACUAUGCAAAAUGCUCGUGAUUUGCAACAAAUAGAAAUGGAAUAGAACCUAAAUUUUAAUUUGUGCGAUCUGUUGCAGACAAUACUAGACGAUCACAACCAGCGGUCACGUCAAAACGGCGUGCAAAACGGUGGCGCAUUAACCGAUUCUGCCUCUAUGCAUUCCGGCGCUAUGCAUUCGUCAGCUACCUCUUAUUUUACCGAACGUUCAGUGUCUAGAAGUACCGUACACCCUGCAGGUAAUAACGAUGCCGAGCGACCGUCGGCCUUCCAUGCCGAGACCGCUUCUGAUACCGAGCAACCCUCAACUAGUAGAACAGCGGACCCUGUCGGCACAACUUGGGCGAGCAUCGAUGCCGCAAUACCUUAUGGCGGAACCAUAAACGGCUUUCAUGUUUUACCGCGACCUCAUUUAACAGUGUGGAUUUACGCAGGACUAUGAAUAUGAGGGAGAUCAUGUCUACAGAUUUAGACUUGUAUCACGCUUCCUUGCACAACGCCAUGGAUGAAAUAGUGUAAUUUGCCCGACAGAUCGGAGGUGAUG